GACGAACGCUGGCGGCGUGCUUAACACAUGCAAGUCGAGCGGCGCGGCGAACGGGUGAGUAACGCGUGAGUACCUGACCCCCCCUCUGGGAUAACAGUUGGAAACGGCUGCUAAUACCGGAUAGUAGGGGAUGACUCGCGGCCGGUCAGGUUGUUGGUGGGGUAGUGGCCUACCUGGGCGACGACGGGUAGCCGGCCUGAGAGGGCGACCGGCCGCAUUGGGCUGAGAUGCUGCCCAAACUGCUACGGGAGGCAGCAGUGGGGAAUAUUGCACAAUGGGGGAAACCCUGAUGCAGCAACGCGCGGGCGGGAUGACGGCCUUCGGGUUGUAAACCGCUUUCAGCCAUGACGCGGUAGUGGCAGAAGAAGCACCGGCUAACUACGUGCCAGCAGCCGCGGUAAUUC
rnacentral:rRNA from 1 species